rnacentral:rRNA from 1 species
CUACGGGAGGCACCAGUGAGGAAUAUUGCACAAUGGGGGAAACCCUGAUGCAGCAACGCCGCGUGGAGGAUGACGCAUUUCGGUGUGUAAACUCCUUUUAUGAGUCAAGAAAAUGACGGUAGCUCAUGAAUAAGCACCGGCUAACUCCGUGCCAGCAGCCGCGGUAAUACGGAGGGUGCAAGCGUUACUCGGAAUCACUGGGCGUAAAGGACGCGUAGGCGGGAUGUCAAGUCAGGUGUGAAAUCCUAUGGCUCAACCAUAGAACUGCACUUGAAACUGGCAACCUAGAGGAUGGGAGGGGGAGAUGGAAUUAGUGGUGUAGGGGUAAAAUCCGUAGAUAUCACUAGGAAUACCGAAAGCGAAGGCGAUCUCCUGGAACAUUACUGACGCUAAGGCGUGAAAGCGUGGGGAGCAAACAGGAUUAGAUACCCUUGUAGUC